rnacentral:rRNA from 1 species
CCUACGGGUGGCAGCAGUGAGGAAUAUUGGUCAAUGGGCGUAAGCCUGAACCAGCCAAGUCGCGUGAGGGAUGAAGGAUCUAUGGAUCGUAAACCUCUUUUAUAAGGGAAUAAAGUGUGGGACGUGUCCUAUUUUGUAUGUACCAUAUGAUUAAGGAUCGGCUAACUCCGUGCCAGCAGCCGCGGUAAUACGGAGGAUCCGAGCGUUAUCCGGAUUUAUUGGGUUUAAUGGGUGCGUAGGCGGCCUUUUAAGUCAGCGGUGAAAGUCUGUGGCUCAACCAUAGAAUUGCCUUUGAAACUGGGGGGCUUGAGUAUGUGUGAGGCAGGCGGAAUGCGUAGUGUAGCGGUGAAAUGCUUAGAUAUCACGCAGAACCCCGAUUGCGAAGGCAGCCUGCCAAGCCAUGACUGACGCUGAUGCACGAAAGCGUGGGGAUCAAACAGGAUUAGAUACCCGAGUAGUC